rnacentral:tRNA from 1 species
GUCGGAGUGGCCAAGCGGUUUAAGGAGGCAGACUCAAGAGUGUUCUGGUUCACGGUGUGGGCGUGGGUCGGAAUCCCACUUCCGACA